rnacentral:rRNA from 1 species
GUCUGCGGCCAUGCUACCCUGAACAAGACUGAUCCCGUCUGAUCUUGGAAGCUAAGCAGGGUCAGGCCUGGUUAAUACUUGGAUGGGAGACCACCUAGGAAGACUGGGUCCUGUAGGCG